rnacentral:tRNA from 2 species
GGUUCUGUAGCUCAGUCGGUAGAGCAGGGGACUGAAAAUCCCCGUGUCGCUGGUUCGAUUCCAGCCGGGACCA